CUCACUUCUUGGACUUUUGGCUAAGAUCAAGUGUUGUAUCUGUUUCUUAUUUAUUCCCAAGUAGCAAGUGAAAUCAAGAUUCAGUGAUAAUCAAGCAGAGAAAAAUGAUUAUUACAGUUUGAGAAAAAGACAACUUGUAUUCCAGAAUUAUUUUUCUUAAACAUUUGUCAGUGCUGCUGAGAAGUUGUUGGGCCC
rfam:Fukomys damarensis contig113042, whole genome shotgun sequence.